UCUGGAAGCGGAAAUACAGAUGCAUGCAGUUAAAGUGUCUGCAUGUAGUAACUGCCUUCCUAUAGCAAUAUAAUGGCGAUCUCUGCCUAGCUCAGUGAAGAAUAGGCUGGGUUAGAUCGUUCCUCUCCAUACAUG